CACCUGUUCCCCUGAGACGUGACCAUUGUCCCCCAGCAAUAAGAACACUGAGCAUGUGGCAGCUCCACAUUCCUUAUUGUCCUCCCAAGCUCACCCAUUGGCUACAGACUGUGAGAAACUCCAACAAGCCCAAGACACACACUUUCAUAUGCAGAUUUGGGACUAUAUAUAGGAGAGAUGAAGGCAUUAGAAAUCAGAUUCACUUUCUACACAGAGACCUCUAGAGCACAGAGAUCCAGCCAUGGCACCUACAAUCACUUCAGCAAUGAUCUACUCCAAGGAGCACCUGACUCUGACAAACAAGCUAAGAAAGCCAGUGGUGGAAAAGUUAUUCAGAGAUCAUAGACUUCAAGUUGGAGAAAUCAGGCAUCCUGGAGCUGACAGUUUGCUUCCUGAUACGACAACAACAGUACAAGUCAGUGAGCUACUCCUCAUGCUAAGCACCUGUCUGUCAAUCAGGGCUACUCCAGGAGUGUCCAAGAGAUUGGGCACUUCCUGUCCAAAGAUAAGGUGAAGACACAUCCCAGAGAAGACUGCCGAGCCACUUGCAGAUACUUCAGCCAUCCUAUGAUAAGAACAGAAGGGAGAGUGACCUGUCUCAGAUGAGUCCCCCAGUCCAGCACAGCAUCAGCAAAGAGAAGAGUCCAGUCAACAGCGCCCUCUGGAGGCCCUGGUAGAGUCCUACAGACCGGAGCUCCACUCGAACAAACAAAAUGGAUCAUGUUGGUCUUACAUUAAUGUUGUGGACAGUAAUGACAAUAUAAAGAGACAUAAUCUUUUGCUUAUGCAGGACAUUUAAAAGUUAUGUUUUGAUUGUGUUUAUUGUUUUUUAAUUAAUAUGUGAAAAAGCCUUCCCAAUGGAAGUUCAUAUUGAUAUGACCUUUUUUAUUUUCCUCUGUGAGGAAAUAUCAUCACUUUUCAUGUAACAUGAGUAUCACGUAAAGUUAUUCUUACUAUGUAAAACGAAAUUCCUUAAUCUGUUAAAGAUGGUUUAUAAUCUGCAUUGUUCAGAAAAUGCAAAACAACCACAAAGGAACAAUUCAUUUCAUAAUAUUUUUGAUGUUUUUGUGUGAAUUUAUCUUCUUCGAAGAUUUGUCUUGAAUUAUCAUUCAUCAUUGACCCAUUAUAGUCUAUUUAUUACCCACAUUGGGUGAGCAAGCACACAAAGAAUGUUUAAAUUCUUGAAUUAUGCAACACUAUGAUUCUGUGAAGGAAUUUCAGAUAAUAUUUUCUUGUUUGUAACUUACAAAUCUUUAAUUGAUUUGCUUGACAUUCAAAACUGUUUUUUUGUGAUGCACUACCAAUGUUACAGCAUUGAAAUGCUCAUAUCAUAUUGAGAUAUGUAUCUGUAAGAAAUGCAUUUGUUUGUAGUUGCUUCUAUGGAGAUUUUGUAUAACCCACACUCUGAUGUGUCUUUAAGAUGUUUUCAAGCAAUUGUAGGAAUGUUUCAUCACAAAAUUAAGAAGAACUAUUCUAUAUGAAAAUAAAAGAAAUCAUUCAAUGUAUCUGAUUGUUUGUGUGUUUUUUUCAAAAUCCUAUAUUUUGCCUUAGAGUCCAAGUACUGAUCAUUUGACAUCCUAAAAUCUUAGAUCCAAGGAAAUAAAGAUGCAAUGGCUUAUGAACGUCAUCAAUAAAUAUAUGAUUAUCCAGUAGUUACAGUACCUUCAGAAAGUAUUCAUACCCCUUGACUUUUUCUACAUUUUGUUGUGUUAAAGACUGAAUUCAAAAUUGAUUAAAUAAUUUUUUUCUUCACCCAUCUACACACAAUACCCUAUAAUGACAAAGGGAAUACAUGUUUUUAGACAUUUUAGAAUAUUUUUUGAAAAUGAAAUGCAGAAAUAUCUAAUUU
rnacentral:lncRNA from 8 species